GACGAACGCUGGCGGCGUGCUUAACACAUGCAAGUCGAGCGGUAAGGCCCUUUCGGGGUACGACGAGCGGCGAACGGGUGAGUAACACGUGGGUGACCUGCCCUUAGCUCUGGGAUAAGCCUGGGAAACGUAGGGUCGUAAUACCGGAUAUGACUCCAUGACGCAUGUUGUGGGGUGGAAAGCCUUGUGCGGCUAGGGAUGGGCCUGCGGCCUAUCAGCUUGUUGGUGGGGUGAUGGCCUACCAAGGCGACGACGGGUAG
rnacentral:rRNA from 1 species